UACGUAGGGGGCAAGCGUUGUCCGGAAUCAUUGGGCGUAAAGCGCGUGUAGGCGGUUUGGUAAGUCCGCUCUGAAAGUCCGGGGGCUCAACCCCGGAAGGCGGGUGGAUACUGUCAGACUAGAGUGCGGAAGAGGCGAGUGGAAUUCCCGGGUGUAGCGGGUGAAAUGCGCAGAUAUCAGGAGGAACACCGGUGGCGAAGGCGGGGUCUCUGGGCAACAA
rnacentral:rRNA from 1 species